rnacentral:rRNA from 1 species
UAAAAACUUAAAAUUUAAAAGACUUGACGGUACUUCACAUCAACCUAGAGGAGCCUGUCUAUUAACCGAUGAUCCACGAUAAACCCAACCUUUUCUAGCCACACAGUCUAUAUACCGCCGUCGCCAGCCCACCUUGUGAAAGAAACAAAGUGAGCCAAACAGUACCGCACUAACACGACAGGUCGAGGUGUAACUAAUGAAAAGGACCAAGAUGGGCUACAUUUCUUAAAACAAGAAACACGAACAGACUAUGAAACUAGAAACUGAAGGCGGAUUUAGCAGUAAGCUAAGAACAAAAUACUUAACCGAAACUAACGCAAUGAAGUGCGC